UUUUUUUUUUUUAAGUUGAACAGUUGACUCUCUCCUAGUUGUUCCAGUCGCCUGCUGAAAGGGUGCUGGGAUCUGUGUGAUUUCCCGUGCAGAGACCCACUGUGCUGGCUGAAACAAAGGUGCUGCCUGGGAAUCUCCUGGCCAGCUUAAAAGGGCAACCAGACCAGUGUAUUUUGUACGAAGAGCUGCCGCACUGGCACGCCAGCAAAACAGCAGCUCUGGUGACCCGCAGGGCUUCUCCGCCUAGCAAUCUCCAGGUCUUUGGGCAAUAAAGAUCUGUCUGGAAAUGCAGCAUCCACUCACCUUCUGUGCUUCCACUGGGAUCUGCAAUCCUGAGCUGCUCCUAAAAGGCACAACGAUGGCAGUAGUGAGGAUUAUACUUUGAAGCAUCGAUCAAGACUAACAUGUACCAUGUAAAACAUGACGUUGUGCUCCAAAAUCCUGAACUGAUGAUAUAUUAAAUUUUACCAUAAUUACAGGUAUUGUGUUGGUGUAGUAUUUAGGAAAUAAAUAAAACCAUAAUGUAGAAACCA
rnacentral:lncRNA from 13 species